UACGUAGGGUGCGAGCGUUAAUCGGAAUUACUGGGCGUAAAGCGUGCGCAGGCGGUUUGUUAAGUCCGCUGUGAAAUCUCCGGGCUUAACCCGGAAAGGUCAGCCGAUACUGCGGGCUAGAGUGCAGAAGGGGCAACUGGAAUUCUCGGUGUAGCGGUGAAAUGCGUAGAUAUCGAGAGGAACACCUGCGGCGAAGGCGGGUUGCUGGGCUGACACUGACGCUGAGGCGCGAAAGCUAGGGGAGCGAACGGG
rnacentral:rRNA from 1 species